rnacentral:rRNA from 1 species
GACGAACGCUGGCGGCGUGCUUAACACAUGCAAGUCGAACGGUGAACCAGAGCUUGCUCUGGGGAUCAGUGGCGAACGGGUGAGUAACACGUGGGCAACCUGCCCCAGACUCUGGGAUAACCUCGGGAAACCGAUGCUAAUACCGGAUACGACCACUUCGGACAUCCGACGGUGGUGGAAAGUUUUUCGGUCUGGGAUGGGCCCGCGGCCUAUCAGCUAGUUGGUGGGGUAAUGGCCUACCAAGGCGACGACGGGUAGCCGGCCUGAGAGGGCGACCGGCCACACUGGAACUGAGACACGGUCCAGACUCCUACGGGAGGCAGCAGUGGGGAAUAUUGCACAAUGGGCGAAAGCCUGAUGCAGCGACGCCGCGUGAGGGACGACGGCCUCGGUUGUAACGUACUUUCUAGCAGGACGGAAGCGAAAGUAGACUGUACCUGC